rnacentral:lncRNA from 1 species
UGGUUGUAAAAUUGUUGUUUUGUUCUAUUUUCGGAAAACAUAGCGUAGUUGCAUAAGGUUUGUUAAAAACAUUCGAUUAUAAAGUUAUCUGUAAUUUAAAUCCAAUUCCAUUCAAAACACGCAUCGUUUGAAAAUAAAAACCCUUGAUUUUUUCGGUAAACCUUUGGAAAACUACAUUUCAACAUUUUGCAGCAAAAAAAGUGUUGCUUUUGAUUAUUGUUUGAAAUCCCAUAUUUUGAGUUGUGUUAGGUCGGAUAUUUAAUUUGUUCUGUUUCCAUUCAAAUAUCUCAUGGAUGCAAAAAAAAAAAACUAAAUAAAUCACCCAUACCAUAGUAUUUUAAAUAAAAAUUACAGUCCCAACAUAAACCAGCACAUGGCCUAUCACAUGGUUGUGUGGCGUCGACAGUACCAAUUUUGACUUUUACCCUUCAUUAUUUUUCAAGUUUCUCGUUACACACCUGAUCAAAUUCUAACGUAAACUCAAAAAUUGAGUAUUCCACCACCUAAAAUACCAAACACUUAGAGAAUCAGCAACCAAUAGCGCAACCAUUAAGGGGCUAAAGCCCUCAAUUUGAUUCUAAAUACCAAAACAUUCCAAGAAAAAAUAUGACAAACCCUCAAACAUCCAUAACAGUUCCAAAUUAACAUAACCACUUACCCUUGGACGAACAUCACUUCUUCAAAUCCUAAUUUUCCGGUGAAUUAAACGUCUCUUAAACUUCACCUAAAACAAACCCAUCAAUUAACAAUGACAAAACACCAAACACACCUAAACAUAACCAUCACUAACAAGAGAAAUAAAUAACGAACAAAAAUUAGGGAACGAUCAUGCCUUACCUUUAGCACAUACCCCACAAAACAAGGAUUAACUCUUCAAGAAUUAGCAGUAGCAAAAAUUGAAGAAUAAAAGAAAGACGAAAUAGAAGGGAAAAAUCAAAUAAAGAAGAAGAUAGAUUUCGAUAGCAAAAAACAGAACAAGCGAUGUGUAAAACAAAUGGGGAAUGAGGGGUAACCAACUUGAAACAAAAAGUUGGAGCAGACUUAGAGAGAAUCAAGGAAAAAUAAAAUAAAAAUAAAAUAAAACCAAAUAAAAUAAUGGUCUUUUUAUUUUUCUUUUAUUAUAGUAAGAUAUUCAAACAUAUCCCAGUACCUAAAAAACCACACAAUAAGGUCGGC